rnacentral:rRNA from 1 species
UACGUAGGGUGCAAGCGUUAUUCGGAAUUACUGGGCGUAAAGCGUGCGCAGGCGGUUUUGUAAGUCUGUCGUGAAAUCCCCGGGCUCAACCUGGGAAUGGCGAUGGUGACUGCAAGGCUAGAGUUUGGCAGAGGGGGGUAGAAUUCCACGUGUAGCAGUGAAAUGCGUAGAUAUGUGGAGGAACACCGAUGGCGAAGGCAGCCCCCUGGGUCAAAACUGACGCUCAUGCACGAAAGCGUGGGGAGCAAACAGG